GUGUCCUUGUUCCUCUUUUAGCACACAUCACACAGUAUUACAAUAAUUAAGAACGUUCAAUCAUCAAAUACAAUCAUUUUCAUAACAAGCUGCUGUGGAGGCAAAACCUUUUUGUUCUUUGCAAUAAAUCUUUUGUUCUUUUAUUCAGAGCUCUGAAGGUACAGGUGACACAGAGUGCAAAGCAGUCUAUGUGUCAAGUCAAACUGGAAGGAGCUGAAAACUCAAAGGAGAAGCAUUUACGCACAGGUCCUACACUCAGCUGGGGCGGAACAAAUCUGCGGCUGCAGGUUUGCCACCGGCGGCAAAAAAAGGGGACACAGGCAGCACUGAGGAGGAACUGAGAAUGAAUGACCGAGUUCAAACUAAUUGGCCAUGAGUUUCUGUUGGGAAAGGAUCAAGAUCUGCAGCAAACUGUGCAGGAUUGCCUUCAUCUCCAAAAUCCGGGUUGCAGCCGGUUUUUCCACCUUAAUCUAUCAACUAAACGUAUGGACUUAUGGAAGUUGCCACCUCUGUAUCUCAUGAAUUUGCGACCACUGCAAAAUAAAAGAGGGAAAAGAAAGAAAGCAACUGUCUGAUUGAUGAGUGGAGUCCUGCUCAAACCCUGGGUAGAUGAAACAUCCUUUUUCAAGUGGGGAAACUGCAGAAACUGUGAGAAAAAUCAUCAAUGAGAAUCACCUGUCAUUGAAAGUGGGAGGACACUUGACACUAUGGGAGAGUGCAAAGAACAGAGAGUGAUUGGCAGGAGGAGGAGAGUCUGACGGAGGAGCAGAGGAAUGUUGGCAGCCAUUUAGUCUGAGCUCAACAACGGAGGAAACAUGGAUUCUUCACAAAAAGUGAGAAACAUACCACUGUAACAUUAUUAUCAUUCAUUUGUUCUUUAAAAUGUGUAAAGUUGCUCCAGUUGGUUAGAUGGGCCGACCAAAGCCAGGUGACGUUGGCUGGAGAGAUGUAGCUCUGCAGAAGCAGCUGUACUGAGGAUAUAAUGGUGGACUGCUUG